rnacentral:tRNA from 1 species
CGGGAUGUAGCUCAGUAGGUAGAGUGCGCGUCUGGGGGGCGCGAGGCCGCAGGUUCAAGUCCUGUCAUCCCGA